GACGAACGCUGGCGGCGUGCUUAACACAUGCAAGUCGAACGGAAAGGCCCUGCUUUUGUGGGGUGCUCGAGUGGCGAACGGGUGAGUAACACGUGAGUAACCUGCCCUUGACUUUGGGAUAACUUCAGGAAACUGGGGCUAAUACCGGAUAGGAGCUCCUGCUGCAUGGUGGGGGUUGGAAAGUUUCGGCGGUUGGGGAUGGACUCGCGGCUUAUCAGCUUGUUGGUGGGGUAGUGGCUUACCAAGGCUUUGACGGGUAGCCGGCCUGAGAGGGUGACCGGCCACAUUGGGACUGAGAUACGGCCCAGACUCCUACGGGAGGCAGCAGUGGGGAAUAUUGCACAAUGGGCGGAAGCCUGAUGCAGCAACGCCGCGUGCGGGAUGACGGCCUUCGGGUUGUAAACCGCUUUCGCCUGUGACGAAGCGUGAGUGACGGUAAUGGGUAAAGAAGCACCGGCUAACUACGUGCCAGCAGCCGCGGUGAUACGUAGGGUGCGAGCGUUGUCCGGAUUUAUUGGGCGUAAAGGGCUCGUAGGUGGUUGAUCGCGUCGGAAGUGUAAUCUUGGGGCUUAACCCUGAGCGUGCUUUCGAUACGGGUUGACUUGAGGAAGGUAGGGGAGAAUGGAAUUCCUGGUGGAGCGGUGGAAUGCGCAGAUAUCAGGAGGAACACCAGUGGCGAAGGCGGUUCUCUGGGCCUUUCCUGACGCUGAGGAGCGAAAGCGUGGGGAGCGAACAGGCUUAGAUACCCUGGUAGUCCACGCUGUAAACGGUGGGUACUAGGUGUGGGGUCCAUUCCACGGGUUCCGUGCCGUAGCUAACGCUUUAAGUACCCCGCCUGGGGAGUACGGCCGCAAGGCUAAAACUCAAAGGAAUUGACGGGGCCCCGCACAAGCGGCGGAGCAUGCGGAUUAAUUCGAUGCAACGCGUAGAACCUUACCUGGGUUUGACAUGGAUCGGGAGUGCUCAGAGAUGGGUGUGCCUCUUUUGGGGUCGGUUCACAGGUGGUGCAUGGCUGUCGUCAGCUCGUGUCGUGAGAUGUUGGGUUAAGUCCCGCAACGAGCGCAACCCUUGUUCACUGUUGCCAGCACGUUAUGGUGGGGACUCAGUGGAGACCGCCGGGGUCAACUCGGAGGAAGGUGGGGAUGACGUCAAGUCACCAUGCCCCUUAUGUCCAGGGCUUCACGCAUGCUACAAUGGCUGGUACAGAGAGUGGCGAGCCUGUGAGGGUGAGCGAAUCUCGGAAAGCCGGUCUCAGUUCGGAUUGGGGUCUGCAACUCGACCUCAUGAAGUCGGAGUCGCUAGUAAUCGCAGAUCAGCAACGCUGCGGUGAAUACGUUCCCGGGGCU
rnacentral:rRNA from 1 species